GGAGCCUACAGCGGGUUGGCCUUUGGGAAGGCUUUGUCUCUCCUUCACAGUGGACGGAGCCCUUGGCCAGGUGUCAGAUAUGUUAUCCAACGACAGCAAGUUGACUACUGCACCUACCAGGUACAGGGCUGGGAUGUUUCGUGCGGCAUGAUGGCCUGGAUAUACAAAUGUUCAACAGCUUCUAGGAUGAGCUAACCGUUACUACCUGGGACCCAAGCCCAUGACAGGAAGAAACAUCUUUUGAAACCAUGCUCUUGACCAUUGAAAAAUGCCAUACGUAAAAGGAAAAACAAAAAGAAAGAAAAAUACCAUACUUUAGUCACCCCAACAGAUCAAUAAAAACGUUCUGUUAUUUUGAAA